rnacentral:rRNA from 1 species
AUACGAAAGGUGCGAGCGUUGUUCGGAUUUACUGGGCGUAAAGCGAGUGUAGGUGGUUUGUUAAGUCGGAUGUGAAAUCCCGGGGCGCAACCUCGGAACUGCAUUCGAUACUGGCAGGCUAGAGUUCGGGAGGGGUAAGCGGAAUUCCGUGUGAAGCAGUGAAAUGCGUAGAUAUACGGAGGAACACCUGAGGCGAAGGCGGCUUACUGGACCGAUACUGACACUGAGACUCGAAAGCGUGGGUAGCAAACAGGAUUAGAAACCCUAGUAGUCC